AAGUCGUAACAAGGUUUCCGUAGGUGAACCUGCGGAAGGAUCAUUCACACACGUUAGUCAUGUUGGCUGUGCGGUUCGCUGCAUGGCCGGCCUGCAACCCAAACCAAAUCCACCGAGCUACGUACAACCUUACAAAAAGACAGGCACUGGGUUCGAGCCUAGCUCCCCAGACGUUAAACGCCGGGAACCUGUCAUAGCAUGAAUCGGGGCAACCUGAGUAAUUGUUAUGGCCAAAGCAUACAAGACCCUCGGAUUCCAACCCCGUUGGUCGACCUAACCUGCACUGGCUUUCCCUGGCAACAGGGGCUGCCUUACAUUUUGUCGAAAAACCGCUGGCGAAAGCUGGCAUUACGUAACAAAUACAACUCUUUGCAAUGGAUAUCUUGGUUCUC
rnacentral:misc_RNA from 1 species